rnacentral:rRNA from 1 species
CCCGCUGAACUUAAGCAUAUCAAUAAGCGGAGGAAAAGAAACUAACAAGGAUUCCCUUAGUAACUGCGAGUGAAGUGGGAAAAGCUCAAAUUUAGAAUCUGGCAGUCACUUGGCUGUCCGAGUUGUAAUCUAGAGAAGUGUUGCCCGUGCUGGACCAUGUACAAGUCUCCUGGAAUGGAGCAUCACAGAGGGUGAGAAUCCUGUCUUUGACAUGGACUGCCAGUGCUUUUGUGGUACGCUCUCAAAGAGUCGAGUUGUUUGGGAAUGCAGCUCAAAAUGGGUGGUAAAUGCCAUCUAAAGCUAAAUAUUGGCGAGAGACCGAUAGCGAACAAGUACCGUGAGGGAAAGAUGAAAAGAACUUUGGAAAGAGAGUUAAACAGUACGUGAAAUUGCUGAAAGGGAAACGCUUGAAGUCAGUCACGUUGACUCGGAAUCAGCUCUGCUUUUGCUGGGUGUACUUUCUUGUCAAUGGGUCAGCAUCAAUUUUGACCAUUGGAUAAAGUUGCUGGGAAUGUAGCAUCCUUUUGGAUGUGUUAUAGCCUGGUGAUGCAUACAGUGGUUGGGAUUGAGGAAUUCAGCACGCCACCAGGCCGGGUUUUUGACCACGUUUGUGCUUAGGAUGCUGGCAUAAUGGCUUUAAUUGACCCGUCUUGAAACACGG